rnacentral:lncRNA from 13 species
AUGUUGACCAUGUCCAUCACCUCAGAGCGUUCACCCUUGACCAUGUCCAUCACCUCAGAGCGUUCACCCUUGACCACGUCCAUCACCUCAGAGCGUUCACCCUUGACCAUGUCCAUCACCUCAGAGCGUUCACCCUUGACCAUGUCCAUCAGCUCAGAGCGUUCACCCUUGACCACGUCCAUCACCUCAGAGCGUUCACCCUUGACCAUGUCCAUCACCUUAGAGUGUUCACCCUUGGUCAUGUCCAUCACCUCAGAGCGUUCACCCUUGACCAUGUCCAUCAGCUCAGAGCGUUCACCCGUGCCCUAUGUCCAUCACCUCAGAGCUUUCCCCAUUGACCGUGUCCAUCACCUCAGAGCGUUCACCCUUGACCGUGUCCAUCACCUCAGAGCGUUCACCCUUGACCACGUCCAUCACCUCAGAGCGUUCACCCUUGACCACGUCCAUCACCUCAGAGCGUUCACCCUUGACCACGUCCAUCACCUCAGAGCGUUCACCCUUGACCAUGUCCAUCACCUUAGAGUGUUCACCCUUGGUCAUGUCCAUCACCUCAGAGCGUUCACCCUUGACCAUGUCCAUCACCUCCGAGCGUUCACCCUUGACCACGUCCAUCACCUCAGAGCGUUCACCCUUGACCAUGUCCAUCACCUUAGAGUGUUCACCCUUGGUCAUGUCCAUCACCUCAGAGCGUUCACCCUUGACCACGUCCAUCACCUCAGAGCGUUCACCCUUGACCAUGUCCAUCACCUCCGAGCGUUCACCCUUGACCACGUCCAUCACCUCAGAGCGUUCACCCUUGACCACGUCCAUCACCUCAGAGCGUUCACCCUUGACCAUGUCCAUCACCUUAGAGUGUUCACCCUUGGUCAUGUCCAUCACCUCAGAGCGUUCACCCUUGACCAUGUCCAUCACCUCCGAGCGUUCACCCUUGACCACGUCCAUCACCUCAGAGCGUUCACCCUUGACCAUGUCCAUCACCUUAGAGUGUUCACCCUUGGUCAUGUCCAUCACCUCAGAGCGUUCACCCUUGACCACGUCCAUCACCUCAGAGCGUUCACCCUUGACCACGUCCAUCACCUCAGAGCGUUCACCCUUGACCAUGUCCAUCACCUCAGAGCGUUCACCCUUGACCACGUCCAUCACCUCAGAGCGUUCACCCUUGACCAUGUCCAUCACCUCAGAGCGUUCACCCUUGACCAUGUCCAUCACCUUAGAGUGUUCACCCUUGGUCAUGUCCAUCACCUCAGAGCGUUCACCCUUGACCAUGUCCAUCACCUCAGAGCGUUCACCCUUGACCUUUACAGCAGCCCAGUUCUGUGUUGGAGUUGGCUACACUGGCUCACAGGAGCCAGUUCUGCAUAUGUGUCUCAUUCUUCUUUAGUUCUUAAUGGUGUUUUUUUGAGAAAGUAG